ACUCGAGUGGCGAACGGGUGAGUAACACGUGGGUGAUCUGCCCUGCACUUUGGGAUAAGCCUGGGAAACUGGGUCUAAUACCGGAUAGGACCACGCGCUUCAUGGUGUGUGGUGGAAAGCUUUUGCGGUGUGGGAUGGGCCCGCGGCCUAUCAGCUUGUUGGUGGGGUAAUGGCCUACCAAGGCGACGACGGGUAGCCGGCCUGAGAGGGUGACCGGCCACACUGGGACUGAGAUACGGCCCAGACUCCUACGGGAGGCAGCAGUGGGGAAUAUUGCACAAUGGGCGCAAGCCUGAUGCAGCGACGCCGCGUGAGGGAUGACGGCCUUCGGGUUGUAAACCUCUUUCAAUAGGGACGAAGCGCAAGUGACGGUACCUAUAGAAGAAGGACCGGCCAACUACGUGCCAGCAGCCGCGGUAAUACGUAGGGUCCGAGCGUUGUCCGGAAUUACUG
rnacentral:rRNA from 2 species